CGGGCCGGGGGCCGUGGGGCGGGGUAGCGGCGCCUUUUCUCCCCGGCGGCUCGGAGAGGUGGGCCGGGGCUUUCAGAGGGGCUGACAGAUCUGAAGUUUUGGAGGCUGAAUGAAAGAAACACUCAGCUAACAAAACAGUGCGCCGCAGAAGAAGUUUCAUCUGAGUAGGUCUCAUUACUGGUGAUUAGCAGAUGAUUAAAACCAAUUCAGCUUCCCCCAGUAGAUAUUUUCUCCCUGUUUGUGACUAACGCGUCAGUCUUCAAUGAACGUGCUCCUAAGCUUAUUAACGGGCUCAGAGGAUUAGCUGCCACCGAGCGCCGCCACUCCGAUAUUGUGAUGCAGCGAGUGACAUGGAACCAUUUGCUGAGCACAGGUCACAUGAAACUCAAAAAUAACAAGAAAAUCCAUUGGAGUUUAAGGAGAAAUAUCCUGAUGAGAAUCCUCCCUUCCAUUUAGUUUCCAGUGCAGCUUAACUCUGAGUGUGCUGAAGCUUGAAAUGUAGCUUCCGAUUUAUAAUAGCGACAGGACAUGCAGCAAAUGUCAACAAAUCCCCUGUCACCCAGGCAAGGAGGAAAUGUGAGAGGUAAGCCAGAGUAGCCCUUCCUUGCUGCAUAAUGCACACACACACACACACAUAUAAAAAAAAAAAAAAAAGUCCUCAGUGAAGAAUAAAGAACUGAGAUCCUGCUCA
rnacentral:lncRNA from 1 species